rnacentral:lncRNA from 1 species
AAGACGAAGAUUGUAGCGAUGAGGUUCAUGAGGUUGGGCAGGUUCUGUCUGUAAAAGGCUUCUCUUAGAGCUCGCACUUUAUCAGUACGAGUGGCCAAUAGGUGAAAGAGAGCAAUGAUGGCUCCUUCAAACUCCGUACCUCUUCCUGUGUUGACUGUUGUUGGGCU